rnacentral:snRNA from 1 species
AUGCUCUCUUCGGCAACACAUACACUAAAACUUGAAUUAUAUAGAGAAGGUUAGCAUGGCCACCACACAAGGAUGACUUGCAAAUUUGUGAAGUGUUCCAUAUUUUG